rnacentral:rRNA from 1 species
UUGGAGGGCAAGUCUGGUGCCAGCAGCCGCGGUAAUUCCAGCUCCAAUAGCGUAUAUUAAAGUUGUUGCAGUUAAAAAGCUCGUAGUUGAAUUUCGGGGUCAGUAGGUCGGUCGUGCCACUGGUAUGAACUGGUUUUACUGAUUCCUCCCUCUUGAAGAACUGUAAUGCCAUUAAUUUGGUGUUGCAGGGAAUCAGGACUGUUACUUUGAAAAAAUUAGAGUGUUUAAAGCAGGCUUUAGCUUGAAUACAUUAGCAUGGAAUAAUGAAAUAGGACGUUUGAUCCUAUUUUGUUGGUUUCUAGGAUUGACGUAAUGAUUAAUAGGGAUAGUUGGGGGCAUUAGUAUUCAAUUGUCAGAGGUGAAAUUCUUGGAUUUAUUGAAGACUAACUACUGCGAAAGCAUUUGCCAAGGAUGUUUUCAUUAAUCAAGAACGAAAGUUAGGGGAUCGAAGACGAUCAGAUACCGUCGUAGUCUUAACCAUAAACUAUGCCGACUAGGGAUCGGAUGAUGUUAAUUUUUUAAUGACUCAUUCGGCGCCUUACGGGAAA